rnacentral:rRNA from 1 species
UACGUAGGGUGCGAGCGUUAAUCGGAAUUACUGGGCGUAAAGCGUGCGCAGGCGGUUUGUUAAGACAGGUGUGAAAUCCCCGGGCUUAACCUGGGAAUGGCGCUUGUUACUGGCAGGCUAGAGUGUGGCAGAGGGAGGUAGAAUUCCACGUGUAGCAGUGAAAUGCGUAGAGAUGUGGAGGAAUACCGAUGGCGAAGGCAGCCUCCUGGGAUAACACUGACGCUGAGACGCGAAAGCGUGGGGAGCAAACAGG